GACGAACGCUGGCGGCGUGCCUAAUACAUGCAAGUAGAACGCUGAAGUGAGGAGCUUGCUCUUCUUGGAUGAGUUGCGGACGGGUGAGUAACGCGUAGGUAACCUGCCUUUUAGCGGGGGAUAACUAUUGGAAACGAUAGCUAAUACCGCAUAACAUUUGAUGACACAUGUUAUUUAUUUGAAAGGGGCAAUUGUUCCACUACAAGAUGGACCCGCGUUGUAUUAGCUAGUAGGUGAGGUAAUGGCUCACCUAAGCGACGAUACAUAACCGGCCUGAGAGGGGGGUCGGCCACACUGGGACUGGGACACGGCCCAGAACUCUAAGGGAGGGAGCAGGAGGGGAUCUUUGGGAAAGGGGGGAACGCUGAACGAGGAACGCCGGGUGAGUGAAGGAGGUUGUCGGGUCGGAAAGCUCUGUUGUAAGUCAAGAAAGGGUGUGGGAGUGAAAAGUUCACAUUGUGACGGUAGCUUACCAGAAAGGGACGGCUAACUACGUG
rnacentral:rRNA from 1 species